GCCGGGCGUGGUGGUGUGUGCCUGUAGUCCCAGCUACUUGGGAGGCUGAGACAGGAGAAUCGCUUGAACCUGGGAGGCGGGGGUUGCAGUGAGCCGAGAUCAUGAUGUCACUGUACUCCAGCCUGGGAGAUAGAGCGAGAUUCUGUCUCAA
ensembl:misc_RNA Metazoa_SRP Metazoan signal recognition particle RNA